AGGAAGAAGAAGAUGACGAGGGAGAAGGAGGGGAUGUUGAUGGUGAAGAUGAUGAAGGUGAGGAUGAUAAGAAUGAUGAUGAUGCUGUACCUUGCUUUGACCAUCUGUGAUGCUGACAAGUACAUCGAUCGAGUCUUGAUUCUGAGACGAAUUGGCAGAAAAAGACAUUUGAAUCUUUAAAACAGAGGCAUGAUGAAUGAACCUUUUCACCACAGCAGUUUUUAUUAUAUUAAAAAACAAAUUAAAUAUAAGAAAUCCUCAUGUGUUUUGGCAUGUUUUACCUCUCUGUCCAACUUUUCCACCAAAGUUAUGUUUCCAGAUUUGGGGUCGACCCUGAAGUACUCUCUGGAGCCAGGAUCAAAGGAUAGGCCGUACCUCACCUCCUGACCUUCAGGAUGGAUUCUGUUCGGUAAACACUGAUGUACGGAGCAGAGGGACGGCUGCAGCACGGACACGUCAACAGUUGGCUGCAGCAGAUCAGCGUCUCAGUCUGGAUCAUUGAACACUGAGAUGGCCUUCCAAUGAAAUGAUGGAUGGAUGCAGUGACCCUCAGAUCACCAUGGUGCAGAGGUUUGAAAACUAAACUAAACUUUACAUAAGCAAAAACAAAAAAAAAAAAUCUGCUAAAG